rnacentral:SRP_RNA from 1 species
GCUGGGCAUGGUGGUGCAUGCCUGUAGUCCCAGGUACUCGGGAGGCUGAGGCAGGAGAAUUGCUUGAGCCUGGGAGGCAGAGGUUGCAGUGAGCUGAGAUUGAGCCACUGCACCCCAGCCUGGGUAACAGAGUGAGACCCCGUUUCAA